UACAGAGGUCUCAAGCGUUGUUCGGAUUCAUUGGGCGUAAAGGGUGUGUAGGUGGCGCCGUAAGUGGGGUGUGAAAUCUCGGGGCUUAACUCCGAAACUGCAUUCCAUACUGCGGUGCUUGAGGACUGGAGAGGAGACUGGAAUUCAUGGUGUAGCAGUGAAAUGCGUAGAGAUCAUGAGGAAGGCCAGUGGCGAAGGCGGGUCUCUGGACAGUUCCUGACACUGAGACACGAAGGCCAGGGGAGCAAACGGG
rnacentral:rRNA from 1 species